GUGAUGUAAUUUCUGUCACAUUAUAUUGGACAAAGCAAGUCCUCACCUUGUGAUGGAACAUCUGUAAGAAUUUGUGAUGUUUAAAAUCUAUCACACCACCCUUCCAGCUGGAGGACGGGGACCCAAGUCACUCAACCACAUAGCCCCUGAACAGAGUGGACAUUAGGGAGAAAACUGGCUAGCAGCUGGAGAGGAGUCCAAAAGGUAGAUGGAAAAGAUGGGGGGCUUAUGUAUGCCUUGCUAGGGGGACUUUAUUUUCAAGGCCGUGGUUCUCAUUCUUUCUUGUGUGACAAAAUAAUGAAUGAUUCUGAUGCAUUCCAAUUAGUAAACAUGAGUCACCAUGGUUGUUUUUCUCAACCUGCAGAGUGGGCAUGAGUAAUGUUUCCUACAGGGGCUGCAUGAAACCUUCCUUCCUCUUGGGGAGUGGGCCUGCCUUGGUUGUAACUCACAGUUCCAGGCAAUGGGGAGCCACUGAUGUCUUGUUCCCGACUGAAGGGCAGAUUUUCUGCUCUGAGAUUCAGUCUUAAGGACAGCCCAGUCCACCCAGUGUUUGUACAUCAACCAGGAGACUUGCUACCAUCUAGUUCUCUUUCCUCUGAGAAGUCUUCUAUAAGCGUCCUGCAACAAUCAUCAUACUGAUCAUCCUACUGAUACGAUCUCCAAUGACUGGAAAUAAGCAUGAAUAUACUGACAAGGGAAGGGUAAUAUAUCUGUGGCAUCUGAGCUGCAAAUCAGUGAGUGUCCUCCUAUGUGAAUAUAUUUAUCUCUGCUGCUAGGCUGUACACAAGUUGUAAAGGAAAUAUGGGAUUUACCUUGUUUAUGGUGAAAAUAAAUCUCCAUUGUAUAAGUGAA